UACGGGGGGAGCAAGCGUUGUUCGGAUUUACUGGGCGUAAAGGGCGCGUAGGCGGCGCUGUUAGUCAGGCGUGAAAUUCCUGGGCUUAACCUGGGGACUGCGCUUGAUACGGCAGUGCUAGAGGGUGGAAGAGGGUCGCGGAAUUCCCAGUGUAGAGGUGAAAUUCGUAGAUAUUGGGAAGAACACCGGUGGCGAAGGCGGCGACCUGGUCCAUUACUGACGCUGAGGCGCGACAGCGUGGGGAGCAAACAGG
rnacentral:rRNA from 1 species